GACGUAGGGGGCAAGCGUUGUCCGGAAUCAUUGGGCGUAAAGCGCUCGUAGGUGGAUCGGUAAGUCUGCAAAGAAAGACCCGGGCUCAACUCGGGGAACGGUGUGGAUACUACCGAUCUUGAGGCAAUCAGAGGAUGAUGGAAUUCCCGGUGUAGCGGUGAAAUGCGUAGAUAGUCGGAGGAACACCAGUGGCGAAGGCGAUCAUCUGGGGUUGUUCUGACACUGAGGAGCGAAAGCUAGGGGAGCAAACGGG
rnacentral:rRNA from 1 species